UACGGAGGGUGCAAGCGUUAAUCGGAAUUACUGGGCGUAAAGCGCACGCAGGUGGCUGAGUCAGUCGAUUGUGAAAGCCCUGGGCUUAACCUGGGAAUUGCAGUCGAUACUACUCGGCUCGAGUAUGGGAGAGGGCAGUGGAAUUCCCGGUGUAGCGGUGAAAUGCGUAGAUAUCGGGAGGAACAUCAGUGGCGAAGGCGGCUGCCUGGCCCAAUACUGACACUGAGGAGCGAAAGCGUGGGUAGCAAACAGG
rnacentral:rRNA from 1 species